AACGAUUUUUAGCCCCCGUCAUUAUUUGAAAUUUUAAUGGUUAAAAUAAUGAUCUUUAAAGAAUGUGUGGUUAAAGAAGAGAAAAAUGUUUUAAAAUUACGUUUAAAAUUAUUUUAACGAAGAAUAUUCGAUUAUUAAUAGGAUAAAAGAAAAUUGAAUUAUAAUUUUAACGAGGACAAACAGCGAGUUAAUGUCGUGCUUGGCGGUGCACGUUAAAGAUUAUUAUAUCCACAUCUACAUUCCUCUGUCUCUCACUCUCUGUUUAACUAUAUUGCGCUUCUCUUCUAUGUCCGGCCGACCUUUUAAGGCCCUUUUUUUCACAUUAAUCUAUCAAUAAUCACCUUUUUAAGUUACUAUUUAUUCGUUCAGGUGAAGUAUUUUUGUUCUCCCAUUAUUUUUAUUUCUCUGUGGAUAUCAAUUUAUUUUAUUGUCACUGAAUUAUGCGAUUUAUUUGCUCAUUAAAGUUGCCGUUUUUUCUCUCUCUCAAGUAUCUGUAUUCUGGUUGUGAUUAUUGAGGGAAAGCUUGUAUGGAUAAUUUAUGAGAUAAAAUCUAGCAUUUUUUAAAAUUGUUUUGCUAUUUUAAAUUCGAGUGUGUUUUCCAUCCUAUUUUUAUUUAUUUAUUUAUUUUUUUCAAUUGGUAAAUGCUAUCAAUUUAUUUAUUGCUGGGUUGUGAUAUUCAUAUGAAAUUGUUAAUGGGUUCGAGCUAAUUUUUUGAUAAAAGUUCAUGUUACGGUUAAAUUAUUAAUCUUCUGGUCGUUGGAUUAUGUAAGUUAUUGCUGCUGCUACGUUGAAGCAGCUGUUUUUCGUUUAAUUGUAUUUAUAUUAUUAUGGUUUGCAUCAAUUAUUGAGCUCGGAUGGAUAAUUUAUGAGAUAAAAUCUGGCUUUAUCGUACUUGUUUUGCUGUUUGACUUCAAUUAUGUUCUUUGGUUUCCAUUUU
rnacentral:lncRNA from 1 species